CCUACGGGUGGCUGCAGUGAGGAAUAUUGGUCAAUGGCCGGAAGGCUGAACCAGCCAAGCCGCGUGAAGGACGAAGGUGCCAAGCAUUGUAAACUUCUUUUGUCAAGGGACAAAAUCAGGCUCGAGAGCCUGACCGAGGGUACUUGAAGAAAAAGCAUAGGCUAACUCCGUGCUAGCACCCGCGGGAAUACGGAGGAAGCGAGCGGUAUCCGGAUUUAUUGGGUUUAAAGGGUGCGAAGGCGGACUGUAAAGUCAGCGGUAAAAGCCCGGGGCUCACCCCCGGCGAGCCGUUGAAACUGGAUGUCUGGAGGUGUGGAGAGGUAUGCGGAAUGCGUGGUGUAGCGGUGAAAUGCUUAGAUAUUGCGCAGAACUCCGAUUGCGAAGGCAGCAUACCGGCGGCGAUCUGACGCUGAGGCACGAAAGCGUGGGUAUCGAACAGGAUUAGAUACCCCAGUAGUC
rnacentral:rRNA from 1 species